rnacentral:piRNA from 1 species
UACCAAGCUGGGUCUGUAGAUUAUACUC